rnacentral:lncRNA from 1 species
UGGGGGAAGAGCAGCUGAGAACAGCUUCACCUGUUGGAUUGUUGUGGGGCCCCUGAAAUGAAAUGGGGGGGUUGGAUGGGGCGUAAGGAAUCAGAAACAUGCAGGCAGGGAGGGGCUGCCUUGGCACCCCUUCCCGUCGUCUCCUGUCAAACGGCCGGCGGAGCGAGAAGUCCAACAGGUGUAGGGCAGGAUCGGGUAUCCCAGCACCUGGCUAGGCGCCCGGGCUCCUUUUGUGCGCCAGCAGCUGCUGCGGCUUCCAAGUUUUCCCCUUUCUUUCCCAAUCCUUGUUUCUCUUUCUCUUCCCCAGGUGAACUCCUUCAAGGAGAACCUUUGCGUCCAGGCCGAAGAACUUGUUGCCAGAAGAUUUCCUGAGAAAGUUGUAGAACUCAGUAAUUUUCUGAAGGCCCCUGAAUUAAAUGUGGCAGACCUGGUUUCGCUCCGUGCUGAAUUAGAUAUCCCCAUGCCGGAUCCCAAAAAGGACGAGGAACGUCGCAAACAGCGGGAGGUAAGCAAGAACACACAAUUGCGUGGAAGGCCGCGAAGCCUCAGUGUCUGCUGACACUUUUGGAUUGUAAAAAC